AUUGAACGCUGGCGGCAGGCUUAACACAUGCAAGUCGAGCGAGCGGCGGACGGGUGAGUAAUGUCUGGGAAACUGACUGAUGGAGGGGGAUAACUACGGGAAACGGUAGCUAAUACCGCCUACAAUCACAUGUGUCAAGAUUGGAUUAUCUAGUAGGUGGGGUAAUGGCUAACCUAGGCGACUAUCCCUAGCUGGUCUGAGAGGAUGACCAGCCACACUGGAACUGAGACACGGUCCAGACUCCUACGGGAGGCAGCAGUGGGGAAUAUUGCACAAUGGGCGCAAGCCUGAUGCAGCCAUGCCGCGUGUGUGAAGAAGGCCUUCGGGUUGUAAAGCACUUUCAGCGAGGAGGCGUUACUCGCAGAAGAAGCACCGGCUAACUCCGUGCCAGCCGCAGCGGUAAUUC
rnacentral:rRNA from 1 species